rnacentral:rRNA from 1 species
UCGGAUCUAGUGGCGCACGGGUGCGUAACGCGUGGGAAUCUGCCCUUGGGUUCAGAAUAACUUCUGGAAACGGAAGCUAAUACCGGAUGAUGACGUAAGUCCAAAGAUUUAUCGCCCAAGGAUGAGCCCGCGUAGGAUUAGCUAGUUGGCGGGGUAACGGCCCACCAAGGCAACGAUCAGUAGCCGGCCUGAGAGGGUGAUCGGCCACACUGGAACUGAGACACGGUCCAGACUCCUACGGGAGGCAGCAGUGGGGAAUUUUGCGCAAUGGACGGAAGUCUGACGCAGCAACGCCGCGUGGGUGAUGAAGGUCUUCGGAUUGUAAAACCCUGUCGUCGGGGACGAAGGCGCACGGUUUAACAGAUCGUGUGUUAGACGUACC